rnacentral:misc_RNA from 1 species
UUUCCGUAGGUGAACCUGCGGAAGGAUCAUUACCACACCAAAAAACUUUCCACGUGAACCGUUGUAAUUUUGUUUUGUGCCUUCUUUCGGGAGGGCUAAACGAAGGUUGUCCGCAAGUGUAGUUAAUUCUGUACGCGUGGUCUUCCGAUGUCUUUUUAAACCCAUUACUUAAUACUGAUCUAUACUCCGAGAACGAAAGUUUUUGGUUUUAAUCCAUAACAACUUUCAGCAGUGGAUGUCUAGGCUCGC